UACGAAGGGGGCUAGCGUUGCUCGGAUUCACUGGGUUUAAAGGGUGCGUAGGUGGGUUGAUAAGUCAGUGGUGAAAUCCCCGAGCUUAACUUGGGAACUGCCAUUGAUACUAUUGAUCUUGAAUACCGUGGAGGUCAGCGGAAUAUGUCAUGUAGCGGUGAAAUGCUUAGAUAUGACAUAGAACACCAAUUGCGAAGGCAGCUGGCUACGCGAAUAUUGACACUGAUGCACGAAAGCGUGGGGAUCAAACAGG
rnacentral:rRNA from 1 species